GAGACGAGUAUCCUGGCUCGGGUGAACGCUGGCGGGAUGCUUUACGUACAUGCAAGUCGAACGGCAGCACGGACUUUCAGGUCAUCGUGGCGGAGGUGGCGAACGGGUGAGUAAUGUAUCGGGUUGCCUAAUGGCGGGGGAUAACUACGCGAAAGCGUAGCUAGUGCCACCAUGCAUGGCUCGGGAAGAAAAACGGGGGACCUUCGGGCCUCGCGCCUGUUGAGGCUUUGGCUGAUAUCGUUCUGCUCGUUGAGCAAGUAACUGCUCACAAAGCAGUCGUAACUCAGGUUACAGGCAUUCAGCACUGGACUGACGCGGCCCGGAGCCGCUGCAGGGAGCAGCGGAUGGGGGGUACCGAGGUAAUGAAGCCCUGAUUGAAGGCGAUGCUGUGUGCGAUGAAGGCCUUCCGGGUUGUAAAGCACUGCUUCGGGCGGGAAAAGAAACGGCACGGGAUAUUACGGAAUGCAGCGUAUGAACCUGCAGAAUAAACGGCUCCAUUAUUCACAUUAUGUGCGGUAAUGCGUGAAGGUGCCAAGCAUUCGUCAAAUUACUGAGCGUAAGCGUGCAAGGCGUUCCGGAAAAGAUGUGAAAUCCCAGAGCUUAACGCGGAACUGGUAGCACUUUAACUACCGAGCUGGGGAUGUGUCAGAGAGGGAGGUGGAAUUCCGCGUCUGUAUUGAAUGCGUCGAUGCUGCACGGGGAACGUAUGCCGAUGGCGAAGGCAGCCUCCUGGAAUGUAGCACUGACGCUCAUGCACGAAAGCGUGGGAGCAAACAGGAUUAGAUACCCUGGUAGUCCAUACAAACGUGUCAACUAGCUGUUGGGGCCUUCGGGCCUUGGUAGCGCAGCUAACGCGUGAAGUUGACCCGCCUGGGAAGUCUGGUCGCAAGAUUAAAACUCAAAGGAAUUGACGGGAUACGGCAGUGGAUGGUGUGGAUUAAUUCGAUGCAACGCGAAAAACCUUACGUACCCUUGACAUGUCUGGAAUCCAGAAAUUUGGGAGUGCUCGCAAAGAGAACCGGAACACAGGUGCUGCAUGGCUGUCGUCAGCUCGUGUCGUGAGAUGUUGGGUUAAGUCCCGCAACAGGCGCAACCCUUGUCAUUAGUUGCUACGAAAGGGCACUCUAAUGGGACUGCCGGUGAUGACCGGAGGAAGGGUGGGGAUGACGUCAAGUCCUCAUGGCCCUUAUGGGUAGGGCUUCACACGUCAUACAAUGGUCGGGACAGAGGUCGCCAACCCGAGAGAGCCAAUCCCAGAAACCCGAUCAUAGUCCGGAUCACGGUCUGCAACUCGACUGCGUGAAGUCGGAAUCGCUGGCAAUCAUGACGGAUCAGCAUGUCGCCAGUGAAUACGUUCCCGGGUCUUACACACCGCCCGUCACACCAUGGGAGUAAGGUUUUGCAGAAGUAGUUAGCCUAACCGUAAGGAGGGCGAUUACCACGGUAGGAUUCAUGACUGGGGGUAAGUCGUAACAAAGUGGC
rnacentral:rRNA from 1 species